rnacentral:lncRNA from 1 species
UCUACUCAAACUACUCAAAUUUCCAACAAGAAAUGCAAACUUUAUGGUUCUGAAGUGCAGAUUAAACCAGAGUUCCGGUGUUCAAAGGGUGGUUAACACAAGAGAAUGAUACGAAGAAAUCAAAUUAACUCAAGCAUCAACUGGCAUGGAAAAGACUCAUCUCAAAGUGCAAUGCCAAAGUAAAUGAGGUUUAUCUAGCUACUCCAAAACAAUUGACAAACAAAUAUAAAACAGUUCAUAAUUACCGUUCAACGAAAAAACUUUCACAAAAAAUUUUGCAAUAAAAGGAUAAUGCAUGCAUUAUGAUACUUAAGCGCAGAUAGAAACAAAGUCCAAGUGUUAAAAGUGUGGUAAAUGUAGAGAAUAUGAUAUGAAGCAAACAAAUUGCUUUGCAUUAAGUGGCUUGGGACAAAUUUAGUAAACACAAGCAACCUGAUAAGUAAAAGUUAGAGCAUGGUCUCAAAAUGUGAUACAGAAUCUAUGGAAUUUAUCUAGUUAAACAUAAAGAAAAUGACCAAAUGUGUCAAGACAACAAUAAAAUCCACUCAGAACAUGAGAAUGAGCCGCUAAUAUUCUAUGGGAAAUUCAUCUUCAUUAAUAAAAUCAAUAAAUCAUCAACAGAUGUGAAAAUUUCAAACAUAAAUUUUUAUCUUGAAUGUCUUUAAAGGUCGUACCCAGUGCUCAAGGCUCCCGCUUUACGCAGGGUCUGGGAGAGGUGAAUGUCGGCUAGCCUUACCCCCAUUUAUGGAGAGGCUGCUCCCAAGUCUCGAACACGAGACCUACCGCUCAUGGGCGAAGGCACUUGCCAUCGCACCAAGUGCGACCUCUUAUCUUGAAUGUCUUUACAGCAUUUAAAACUAAGUCAUGCAUAUGUCAAUGGUAGAAGUAAAUAUACAUCCACUAAUUUCAACGUCUUUCCAUUUCUGGUCAAAACAUCUAAAAAACUUAUUUCAUCAGUUCAUAAAUCUCAUGCUUACCAACCUCUUAUCAAUACAUCACUAUGAUCUAAUAUUUCAAUAAUUAUACAAAAAAAGAGCUAUACAUGUAUACCAAUCAGUUUUUAACUAAAGGAAACCUUUUAUGUUCCCGUCUUCUGUCCUUUUACAUGUUAACCUACAAACUUGUAUUGGCAAGCACCUUAAACACAUUGCUUUUAGCCUUGCCCUACAGUACAGCAGGUGCUAAUUGAUUUCGUUGUGUUUUCUCAGAUCACAAGUGCUCCAGGAAAGCACCUUUACCAAUAUUACUCACAAAACUCUUGAAGACCAUGAACUAUCAUACCACUAGAGACUACAAAUUAUUGUAUGAAAUGUUUAUGGUAAUCACUGAACUGUGAAAUGCCAGAAGCCUGGCAUGCCCAGCCUACCCCAUACAAAAACAAACCCAAGUAGCCCUUUUAAGAAAACUGAAUCAAGGGAUACACAUAUCGUGAACGAGGCUAUUGAGUUAUAAUCACCAAAGAUGUACAACGCCAAAACCAAAUGAUUAAACGACUAAAGCAGCAUUACAAAUACAGAAAACAGUUCCAGCGUCAAAUGCAUAAAUCAGAACUACGGUACAAAGAACAACAUAGCAAAGCAAUACUUCAAAAUUCCGGAAAAGCGGAAGCGUAAAUAGAAAGAUAAAGAGACU